GAUGAACGCUGACAGAAUGCUUAACACAUGCAAGUCAACUUGAACUUCGGUUUGGGUGGCGGACGGGUGAGUAACGCGUAAAGAACUUGCCUCACAGAUAGGGACAACAUUUGGAAACGAAUGCUAAUACCUGAUAUUAUGAUUAUAUGGCAUCGUAUAAUUAUGAAAGCUAUAUGCGCUGUGAGAGAGCUUUGCGUCCCAUUAGCUAGUUGGAGAGGUAACGGCUCACCAAGGCGAUGAUGGGUAGCCGGCCUGAGAGGGUGAUCGGCCACAAGGGGACUGAGACACGGCCCUUACUCCUACGGGAGGCAGCAGUGGGGAAUAUUGGACAAUGGACCAAGAGUCUGAUCCAGCAAUUCUGUGUGAACGAUGAAGUUUUUCGGAAUGUAAAGUGCUUUCAGUUGGGAAGAAAAAAAUGACGGUACCAACAGAAGAAGUGACGGCUAAAUACGUG
rnacentral:rRNA from 1 species